UACGUAGGGGGCAAGCGUUGUCCGGAAUUAUUGGGCGUAAAGAGCGCGUAGGCGGUCCGGUAAGUCGGCUGUGAAAGUCAAGGGCUCAACCCUUGAAAGCCGGCCGAUACUGUCGGACUAGAGUCCGGAAGAGGCGAGUGGAAUUCCCGGUGUAGCGGUGAAAUGCGCAGAUAUCGGGAGGAACACCAAUUGCGAAGGCAGCUCGCUGGGACGUUACUGACGCUGAGACGCGAAAGCGUGGGGAGCAAACAGGG
rnacentral:rRNA from 1 species